UUUAUGGAGAGCUUGAUCCUGGCUCAGGAUGAACGCUGGCGGCGUGCCUAAUACAUGCAAGUCGAGCGAACGGA
rnacentral:rRNA from 1 species